UUUCCAAAGUAGCCAUUUGUUUUAUUUCAUGUUUUGGCAUGGAACACAAUUUUAUGUCAUUCAAAACAGAUUAUAGCCAUUUCAUCACUGUUCCUGCCUUGUAAGUGUCAACAUUAUUGUAUUGACAAUAAUUGUAAUGUUUUGGAAUGUAUCUUUUGAUAAUGGUGAUAACUUAUGUUGGAAAAUUCUAAAACAUAACUAAAUAUUAUAGCAUCGUUGAAUGGAAAAGGAUUUUGAAAGCUCAUUUAUAUUUAUUCUCCAGCUUUUGAACUAAACCUCAGUCACUUUAAUCUACCCCUAAAUUUAAUAAGUGUUUUAGUCUCCUAGAAAAGGAAAUGUUCAUUUCCUGUGAAAUAAUUUUAAUAUGUAGAAAUUUUUAAAAGAUAUAACCCCAAGGCAAACAAAUGAAAACUGUCAUGUGUAUAUCAUUUGCAUUGCCCAAAACUUUACAAUAAUAAUACAGUAAUGUCUAAAAUUUGAUCAGCAGUUUAAAUUUUACAAAGUUAAUAUUAGCAAUAUUAAUAUUAUUCCCAGUUUAUAGAAUAUUGGGGGAACCAGCCCCCCAUAUUUCAACAUACGUUCUUUUCUAUUUUCCCUAAGUGUCGGCCAGUCUGAGAAAUAAAGAGUACAAGGAGAGAAAUUUUACAGCUGGGCCUCCGGGGGUGACAUCACAUAUCAGCAGGUUCCAUGAUGCCCACCUGAGCCACAAAACCAGCAAGUUUUUAUUAGGGAUUUUAGAAGGGGAGGGGAUGUACGAACAGGGAGUAAGUCACAAGGAUCACAUGCUUCAAAGGGCCAUAAAAGAUCACAAGGCAGAGGGCAGAGAAAGAUCACAAGGCAAGGGCGAAAUUAGAAUUACUGAUGAGGCUCCAUGUCCCACUGGGCAUGCAUUGUCUUGAUAAACAUCUUAACAGGAAACAGCGUUCGAGAGCAGACAACUGGCCCGACUAGAAUUCACCAGGCUGGAAUUUCCCAAUCCUAGUAAGCCUGAGGGCACUGCAGGAGACCAGGGCAUAUUUCAUCCCUUAUCUCAACCGCAUAAGACAGACGGUCCCAGAGUGAUCAUCUGUAGGCCUACCCCUGAGAAUGCAUUCCUUCCCCAGGGUUAUCAAUUAUUAAUAUUCCUUGCUGGGAAAAGAAUUCAGCGAUAUUUCUCCUACUCACACAUUCAUUUAUAGGCUGGCUGUGAGAAGAAAAAUAUGGCUCUAUUCUGCCCAACCCUGCAGGCAGUCAGAACUUAUGGUUAUCUCCCUUGUUCCCUGAAAAUAGCUGUUAUUCUGUUCUUUUUCAGGGUGCACUGAUUUCAUAUUGUUGAAACACACAUGUUUUACAAUCAAUUUGUACAGUUAAUGCAAUCAUCACAGGGUCCUGAGGUGACAUACAUCCUCAGCUUAUGAAGAAGAUGGGAUUAAGAGAUUAAAGAUAGGCAUGAGAAAUUAUAACAGUAUUGAUUGGGGAAGUGAUAAAUGUCCAUGAAAUCUUCACAAUUUAUGUUCAGAGACUGCAGUAAAGACAGGCAUAAGAAAUUAUAAAAGUAUCAAUUUUGGGAACUGAUAAAUGUCCAUUAAAUCUUCACAAUUUAUGUUCUUCUGCCGUGGCUUCAGCUGGUCCCUCUGUUCGGGGUCCCUGCUGAAUGAUUGUCCACAUAGAGUAACGAAAGAAAAAUAUUAAGGAUGACUCCAAGCGUUCUGGUUUGUAAAUCUAGGUUGCUUGUACUGCCAUUUACGGAGAUAUGAAAGAC
rnacentral:lncRNA from 10 species